ACCUGCAUCGAAAGUGAUUUUGGUCCUGUUUAUGGCCUGAUCAUUGAUACUGCAGGGAGAGUAAAUAUAUGAAAGUCUUUCCCGUGUUUGGAGAUGCUGACCGUGCCUACCAAACCCUGUAACUUUCACACA